rnacentral:rRNA from 1 species
GUGGGGAAUCUUGCGCAAUGGGCGAAAGCCUGACGCAGCCAUGCCGCGUGAAUGAUGAAGGUCUUAGGAUUGUAAAAUUCUUUCACCGGGGACGAUAAUGACGGUACCCGGAGAAGAAGCCCCGGCUAACUUCGUGCCAGCAGCCGCGGUAAUACGAAGGGGGCUAGCGUUGCUCGGAAUUACUGGGCGUAAAGGGCGCGUAGGCGGACAGCUUAGUCAGAGGUGAAAGCCCAGGGCUCAACCUUGGAAUUGCCUUUGAUACUGGCUGUCUUGAGUUUGGGAGAGGUGAGGGGAACUCCGAGUGUAGAGGUGAAAUUCGUAGAUAUUCGGAAGAACACCAGUGGCGAAGGCGACUCACUGGCCCAAUACUGACGCUGAGGCGCGAAAGCGUGGGGAGCAAACAGGAUUAGAAACCCGGGUAGUCC